GGCUCUGUAGUGUAGAGGUUAUCACUCAAGAUUCUGAAUUCUGGCUUUCUUGAAACCCAGGUUCGAGUCCUGGCAGGGCCU
rfam:Punctularia strigosozonata HHB-11173 SS5 unplaced genomic scaffold PTNSTscaffold_3, whole genome shotgun sequence.